AUUGAACGCUGGCGGCAGGCCUAACACAUGCAAGUCGAACGAGUGGCGGACGGGUGAGUAAUGUCUGGGAAACUGCCCGAUGGAGGGGGAUAACUACUGGAAACGGUAGCUAAUACCGCAUACCAUCGGAUGUGCCCAGAGGGGAUUAGCUAGUCGGUGGGGUAACGGCUCACCUAGGCGACGAUCCCUAGCUGGUCUGAGAGGAUGACCAGCCACACUGGAAUGGAGACACGGUCAAGACUCCUACGGGAGGCAGCAGUGGGGAAUAUGGCACAAUGGGCGCAAGCCUUAUGCAGCCAUGCCGCGUGUGUGAAGAAGGCCUUCGGGGUGUAAAGAACUUUCAGCGGGGAGGCGUUACCCGCAGAAGAAGCACCGGCUAACUCCGUGCCAGCAGCCGCGGUAAUAC
rnacentral:rRNA from 1 species